GUCAGCAUGGUGUAGUGGUUUCAGUAUUGACAAUGACUCUGGAGACCUGGGUUCAAAUCCUUGCUCAGACA